GCCUUACCUAAGCAACAUGUAUAAUCAAACUGGAAUCAUUCAGAGAAGAUUAGCAAUGUCUAUGCAAAAAUGACAGGCAAAUGUACAAAGUGUUCCAUAUAUUU